UCACACCAAUGUAGUCCCAGUGAGGUGGCACAGGGUGUCAGAGGGCCUGGGCGUGCCCAGACCUGCCUGCCUCAUCACCCUCUCCCUCUGAGGGGAGGCUUCCUUCCUUUCCUUCUGAAGUGUGAGCAUCAGCUCCUCCGCCUCCGUCUCACAUAACAAAGCUGUACUGCAACCUUAAAACGCGUUCUGACAUUUUAAAGGCGACAAUAGCAAAUAGCAAGUUGAGCUAAAGUGGACAGUCCAUUUACUUGAUUGGCAUUGUUUAUCAUCAUCAGGUUGUCUAAUCUAAAAGUAAACACUUUGCCCAAUUAUAACAUAGCCUACCAAACAAAUGAUAAACUCUUCUUUGUGCAUGCCCUAUAUUGCAAAUGACAUUUGAAGUUGAAAUGUACCUGUAAGGAGGACAUCCGUGGCUCUGUGCAAGUUGUUAAGAGUCAAAAUAAGCCGUUUUGAAAAACAAAUACUUGACUGUAAGAAACAAACGAUCAGCUGGACUGCAGAGCUUAAUAUGCGUAACAGAUGUCUUCAUUAAUUCUCUGGUUUGAUGUGCCACUUAACAUCCAACACAAACCCUCCUGGACGUUGUUGAUCGCACUAAAGUUUAGUAAAUUCCCUGUGUCGCACCAUAGCAGCGUCAUAUCUCCUUAGUAACCCCUCUGAAGGACUGCAGGAAAAACUGUGGCAAAGGUGCAUGACUUUAGAAAUGUUCGCUGCAACAUCAAACUAUUUUCCUGGAAUUAAUGAAUGUAAUUUGACUUCAGCGCCAGCAGGUUCCCGCUGCUCCGGAGGAUGCUGGCGCCUCAGAAGCCGAUCCCCAUUCCCAGUUCUCCUCAUCAGACACCAGAGUAACUCUGGAGUUUCAGGUGAUCUGACGACGCAAUGUCAAGACUAUAGAGGGACUUCAACGGGCUUGCUUUCGGUCGGCAACGGAGCUCUGAUUCCACCUGGACACGGACAACUUUUUCACUUAAAGCAUACAGUGGAGGAAAACCUCUAAUUCCCACCAUGACGAAAUAAAUGCUCAUAUUAUUGUAUCCAA